rnacentral:rRNA from 1 species
GUGCUUAACACAUGCAAGUCGAACGAACCUUCGGGUUAGUGGCGGACGGGUGAGUAACGCGUGAGAAUCUGCCCUCAGGAGGGGGAUAACGGUUGGAAACGACCGCUAAUACCCCAUAUGCCUAUUGGUGAAAUGAAUUUCGCCUGAGGAUGAGCUCGCGUCUGAUUAGCUAGUUGGUGAGGUAAUGGCUCACCAAGGCUUCGAUCAGUAGCUGGUCUGAGAGGAUGAUCAGCCACACUGGGACUGAGACACGGCCCAGACUCCUACGGGAGGCAGCAGUGGGGAAUUUUCCGCAAUGGGCGAAAGCCUGACGGAGCAACGCCGCGUGAGGGACGAAGGCCUCUGGGCUGUAAACCUCUUUUCUCAAGGAAGAAGAUAUGACGGUACUGAGGAAUAAGCCACGGC